AUCUCUUUUCUGCCUUUUGGCUAAGAUCAAGUGUAGUAUAUGUUCUUAUUAACAAAAAAAAAAAACUAAAAAGAGAUAGAGAAGGCACCGAACUGCUUUAAUAACUUGUAGUAAUUUCAAGGUCACAUCAGAGUAAGAUCCCUG
rnacentral:snRNA from 13 species